rnacentral:rRNA from 1 species
GCUAAACGCGAAGAACCUUACCAAGGCUUGACAUACACGAGAACGGGCCAGAAAUGGUCAACUCUUCGGGGCGGUAUACAGGUGGUGCAUGGUUGUCGUCAGCUCGUGUCGUGAGAUGUUGGGUUAAGUCCCGCAACGAGCGCAACCCUCGUUCUAUGUUGCCAGCGCGUAAUGGCGGGGACUCAUAGGAGACUGCCGGGGUCAACUCGGAGGAAGGUGGGGAUGACGUCAAAUCAUCAUGCCCCUUAUGUCUUGGGCUUCACGCAUGCUACAAUGGCCGGUACAAAGGGCUGCAAUACCACAAGGUGGAGCGAAUCCCAAAAAGCCGGUCUCAGUUCGGAUCGGGGUCUGCAACUCGACCCCGUGAAGUCGGAGUCGCUAGUAAUCGCAGAUCAGCAACGCUGCGGUGAAUACGUUCCCGGGUCUUGUACACACCG